rnacentral:rRNA from 1 species
AGAUUCCCCUUCUCGGGGUGUCCGUCCUCCCAUCCGUGUCUAUUUGUACCCUGUUGCUUCGGCGGGCCCGCCCUUCGUGGCCGCCGGCGGGCUUCCCUGCCCCCGGGCCCGUGCCCGCCGGAGACCUCAACCAUGAACACUGUCUGAAGGUUGCAGUCUGAGUACCGAUAUAAAAAAUCGUUAAAACUUUCAACAACGGAUCUCUUGGUUCCGGCAUCGAUGAAGCACGCAGCGAAAUGCGAUACGUAAUGUGAAUUGCAGAAUUCAGUGAAUCAUCGAGUCUUUGAACGCACAUUGCGCCCCCUGGUAUUCCGGUGGGCAUGCCUGUCCGAGCGUCAUUGCUGCCCUCAAGCACGGCUUGUGUGUUGGGCCCCCGUCCCCCUCCCAGGAAGGGGACGGGCCCGAAAGGCAGCGGCGGCACCGUGUCCGGUCCUCGAGCGUAUGGGAAGCAACCUUUUUGUCACCCGCUCCUGUAGGUCCGGCCGGCGGCCUGCCCAACCCCAACCUUCUUGUUCUAACCAGGUUGACCUCGGAUCAGGUAGGGAUACCCGCUGAACUACAC